ACCCUAGGAGAGCCGUCUAGGAUAGAUGAAAGUACAUAUGGAGCAAGGGCAGCCUUCAAAAGAUUUUCAAAGCAAAGAUUGGAUCCGGUAGUUCUUUCACAAGUCAAGCUAAAGCUUCUACAACUUACACGCAUCGCUAACCCACAUCAGCUGCUAAUAUUGACCUACUUUGAAGCCCUCCAAUAAGCUAUCAGUAAAGCGAAGGCGUAUAAUGUGACGCGUCAAGAUGAACAAUUUUUCGUUACUCAAAAGAACAGAGAAAAAAUCAGAGUUGUUGAUUCACUAUUCUUUUCAUUGGUUAAAGUUUGAGAGGACCGGUUGGAUGACUCAAGCUUUUAAAUGAUAUUUUUUGUGAUGAGAUGAGCAUCCACCGGUCACUUUGAGAUUUGUGCUGAGAUAAGGUUUGGUGUGCUUUGAGAGCCAUGGGGCGGAUGGUCAAUCGUUGGAUUGGCACAUAGGAAGGUGAAUCCUUCUUUCGUGCGAAAGAAAAACCGCCGGCCCAAUGAGACCAAAGGCGCCAGCCGAGACAUGGGCCCAGCCGAGGACGACUCGGAAU
rnacentral:lncRNA from 1 species